rnacentral:rRNA from 1 species
UACGUAGGGGGCAAGCGUUGUCCGGAAUCAUUGGGCGUAAAGCGCGUGUAGGCGGCUUGGUAAGUCUGCUCUGAAAGCCCGGGGCUCAACCCUGGGAGGCGGGUGGAUACUGCUGAGCUCGAGUCCGGAAGAGGCGAGUGGAAUUCCUGGUGUAGCGGUGAAAUGCGCAGGUAUCAGGAGGAACACCAAUGGCGAAGGCAGCUCGCUGGGACGGUACUGACGCUGAGGAGCGAAAGCGUGGGGAGCGAACAGG